rnacentral:rRNA from 1 species
CAGCAGCCGCGGGAAUACGUAGGUGGCAAGCGUUGUCCGGAAUUAUUGGGCGUAAAGGGCUCGCAGGCGGUUUCUUAAGUCUGAUGAGAAAGCCCCCGGCUCAACCGGGGAGGGUCAUUGGAAACUGGGAAACUUGAGUGCAGAAGAGGAGAGUGGAAUUCCACGUGUAGCGGUGAAAUGCGUAGAGAUGUGGAGGAACACCAGUGGCGAAGGCGACUCUCUGGUCUGUAACUGACGCUGAGGAGCGAAAGCGUGGGGAGCGAACAGGAUUAGAUACCCCUGUAGUCCCUGUCUCUUAUAC